rnacentral:miRNA from 1 species
GUCUAAACCAUCUGAAGAACGUGUUAAAAUGCAGAUGAUCUGGCAUCAGGCCUGAGAUUCUGCAUUUUUAACGAGUUUCCAGGUGAUGUGUCA